GGGGAGAAAACUAGAAUUUACAAUUCAUGCCGCGUCGUGCUGAAAUCAAACGAAAACCAUCCCCCUUCUGCCACCGACCGCCACCGACCGAAACCCUAAUUCAGCAAAAAUACUGUUCUUGCUCUUUUACGGUCGCCAUCAUCAGCUCUCUCUCUCUCUCUCUCUUCACUGGACAUUGGGGCUUUCCUGAUCCUGCGCGAGAAGCAUGGGGAGGAGAAAGCUGACGGCGGCGAGGCUCGACGAAGGAGACGAAGCGGAGCACGAGCCGAAGUCCGCGGCGCCGCUCGUCGGCAGUGGCGACGACGACGACGAGGAAGCGAACGAAGAUCUGAGCCUGAAAAUCGUCGAGAAGGCGCUCUCGGCGCGCGCCGCGAAGCUCGCCUCCACGUCGCCGGGCGUCGGCGUGUCGGAGGAGGACGGCGAUAGAGCUGCCGGCGGCGCGGUCGUCGUCUUGCGGGAGAACGACGUGAUUAAGGAGGAGGAAAAGGCGGAAAAGGCGCAGAAGAAGGAGCGGAGGAAGAAGAAGAGCAAGGGGCGGGAGAAUCGGGAGCUAACUAUCAUUGAUGUAGAUGAGGAAGAGAAGGAGGAGGUUGUUAAUGUGACAGAGGUGCUGGAAUCAGUGGAUCCGAAGAAGGUUGAGAUAGCGGAUAAUAUCAUCCUACGAAAGCUUCUUCGCGGGCCAAGGUACUUUGAUCCUCCGGAUAGUAGCUGGGGAACUUGCUACAACUGCGGCGUUGAAGGCCACACGGCAGUUAAUUGUACAUCCCAAAAGCGGAGGAGACCAUGCUUCGUGUGUGGGAGUUUAGAGCACAAUGCAAAACAAUGCACAAAGGCACAAGAUUGCUUUAUUUGCAAAAAAAGUGGUCAUCGCGCAAAGGAUUGUCCAGAGAAGCAGAAGGCUGGCUCUCAAACUACUAAAAUAUGCUUAAGAUGUGGACAUUCUGGGCAUGAUAUGUUCUCUUGUAGGAGUAGCUAUUCUGCUGCUGAUCUUAAGGAGAUUCAAUGUUACAUCUGCAAGGAGUUUGGCCAUUUAUGCUGUGUGGAUUCUGUUGAUACUGAUCCUUGUGAAGUUUCCUGCUACAAAUGUGGUUGUCUCGGUCAUACUGGUUUAGCCUGCUCAAAAGUUCGCUUUGAUAGCAUGGGUGAUUCUACGCCUAGCUCAUGCUAUAAAUGUGGUCAGGAAGGCCAUUUUGCCCGGGAGUGUAGAAAUUCAACCAGGGGUGAAGUUACACCUAGUCUUUGCUACAAAUGUGGCGAAGGUGGUCACUUUGCCCGGGAAUGUAGGAAUUCAACCACAUAUGAAGCAGCACCCAGUACAUGCUACAAAUGUGGCAGAGACGGGCACUUUGCACGGGAGUGUAACAAUUCAACCAAGGAACGCAAGAGGAACCGCGAUCUGUCAACGCCAAAUAUGAGAUUUCAGAGAGAAGAUGAUGACUACAUGGGCUUUGACUCUGCACCUAACAUUAAUCAAAAUUCUGGUAAAAAGAAAAAAUUCAAGCAUGAAGAUAGAGGCCUUAGAACACCUCCCCAAUCGAAACGUAGGGGUGGCUGGAUCACAGAGGAUCCAGAAGACGUUCCACCCAGCAAGUUCACAAAAAGCCCGAGGUCUCCUGCAACACCAUCGCGUAAGGGUCACAUAUCUGGUUCCAAAUCUUCAAAUAAGUCACAUGUGGUGCAGUAUGGCUCCUAUGGCAGCUCCAGAUUUCAAGGAUCAGGCCAGAGAUCUUCUGUGUACAAUGGUUCAUAUGGCAACUCCAGAUCGCAAGGAUCAGGGCAGAGAUUUUCUGCUUCGAGGUUUGGGAACUCCAGAUAUGAUGGGAAUAGGAGAAACUAUGAUUGGUGGUAGGAACCUUCUUGUACGCAUAUGAGUAAGCAUUUGAAGCAGAUGAUAGGAGAAACUUACAGAAAACUAGUUUUUUAUUGGGGCCAUCUUCUACAUUCUUGUAUCUCGCAAGUAUAAAUUACGAGGAGAAUGUCGUGGAAGCAACCUUUCCUCUAGUUGUCCUCAAUGUUGUACAUCACAAGCAAAGAAUUUUUUUGGACUCUUUUAAGUUUAGAGCUAUUUUCCUCAAGUUCACUCCAAAUAAUUAUAAUUCAAUUAUCUCCAAUCUUUGCUGGAAUUAAGAAACGCCAUUUGUUCAGGC